rnacentral:rRNA from 1 species
GCAUAUCAAUAAGCGGAGGAAAAGAAACUAACAAGGAUUCCCCCUAGUAACUGCGAGUGAAGCGGGAAAAGCUCAAAUUUAAAAUCUGGCGGUUUCACCGUCCGAGUUGUAAUCUGGAGAAGCGUUUUCCGUGUCGGACCGUGCACAAGUCUCUUGGAACAGAGCGUCAUAGAGGGUGAGAAUCCCGUUUUAUGGCACGGACACCCGAUACUUUGUGAUACGUUUUCUAAGAGUCGAGUUGUUUGGGAAUGCAGCUCAAAAUGGGUGGUAAAUUCCAUCUAAAGCUAAAUAUAGGCGAGAGACCGAUAGCGAACAAGUACCGUGAGGGAAAGAUGAAAAGCACUUUGGAAAGAGAGUUAAACAGUACGUGAAAUUGUUGAAAGGGAAACGCUUGAAGUCAGUCGCGUCUUCUAGGACUCAGCCUUACUUCGGUUAGGUGUACUUCCUGGUUUGACGGGUCAACAUCGAUUUUGAUCGACGGAUAAAGGAGAAGGGAAUGUGGCACCUUCGGGUGUGUUAUAGCCCUCUUCGUAUACGUCGAUUGGGAUCGAGGACUGCAGCACGCCCUUGUGGCCGGGGGUUCGCCCUACGUAUCGUGCUUAGGAUGUUGACAUAAUGGCUUUAAGCGACCCGUCUUGAAACACGGACCAAGGAGUCUAACAUGCUCGCGAGUGUUAGGGUGGAAAACCCUUGCGCGUAAUGAAAGUGAAAGUUGGGACCUCUGCAAGGAGGGCACCGACGCCCGGCCCUGAAGUUCUCUGACGGUGCUGCGGUAGAGCGCGUAUGUUGGGACCCGAAAGAUGGUGAACUAUGCCUGAAUAGGGGCGAAGCCAGAGGAAACUCUGGUGGAGGCUCGUAGCGAUUCUGACGUGCAAAUCGAUCGUCAAAUUUGGGUAUAGGGGCGAAAGACUAAUCGAACCAUCUAGUAGCUGGGUUCCUGCCGAA